UACGGGGGGGGCAAGCGUUGUUCGGAAUUACUGGGCGUAAAGGGCUCGUAGGCGGCCAACUAAGUCAGACGUGAAAUCCCUCGGCUUAACCGGGGAACUGCGUCUGAUACUGGAUGGCUAGAGGUUGGGAGAGGGAUGCGGAAUUCCAGGUGUAGCGGUGAAAUGCGUAGAUAUCGAGAGGAACACCUGCGGCGAAGGCGGGUAGCUGGGCCGACACUGACGCUGAGGCGCGAAAGCCAGGGGAGCGAACGGG
rnacentral:rRNA from 1 species